GAUAAACGCUGGCGGCAUGCUUUACACAUGCAAGUCGAACGGUAACAGGGAGCUUGCUCCGCUGACGAGUGGCGAACGGGUGAGUAAUGCGUCGGAACGUGCCGAGUAGUGGGGGAUAACGCAUCGAAAGGUGUGCUAAUACCGCAUACGUACUGAGGUAGAAAGUGGGGGACCUUCGGGCCUCACGCUAUUCGAGCGGCCGACGUCUGAUUAGCUAGUUGGUGAGGUAAAGGCUCACCAAGGCGACGAUCAGUAGCGGGUCUGAGAGGAUGAUCCGCCACACUGGGACUGAGACACGGCCCAGACUCCUACGGGAGGCAGCAGUGGGGAAUUUUGGACAAUGGGCGCAAGCCUGAUCCAGCCAUGCCGCGUGUCUGAAGAAGGCCUUCGGGUUGUAAAGGACUUUUGUCCGGGAGCAAAUGCUGGUGGCUAACAUCCACCGGAGCUGAGAGUACCGGAAGAAUAAGCACCGGCUAACUACGUGCCAGCAGCCGCGGUAAGAC
rnacentral:rRNA from 1 species